rnacentral:rRNA from 1 species
GAUGAACGCUAGCUACAGGCUUAACACAUGCAAGUCGAGGGGAAACGACAUCGAAAGCUUGCUUUUGAUGGGCGUCGACCGGCGCACGGGUGAGUAACGCGUAUCCAACCUGCCCAUCACUUGGGAAUAACCUUGCGAAAGUAAGACUAAUACCCAAUGACACCCCACGAAGACAUCUGAAUGGGAUUAAAGAUUUAUCGGUGAUGGAUGGGGAUGCGUCUGAUUAGCUUGUUGGCGGGGUAACGGCCCACCAAGGCAACGAUCAGUAGGGGUUCUGAGAGGAAGGUCCCCCACAUUGGAACUGAGACACGGUCCAAACUCCUACGGGAGGCAGCAGUGAGGAAUAUUGGUCAAUGGGCGAGAGCCUGAACCAGCCAAGUAGCGUGCAGGAUGACGGCCCUAUGGGUUGUAAACUGCUUUUAAAAGGGAAUAAAGUGGGUCUCGUGAGACUUUUUGCAUGUACCUUAUGAAUAAGGACCGGCUAAUUCCGUG